UGGGAAUCAUGUUUUAUUGGCGAAUGCGACUGCAAGGUUAAGGGAACAGAUGAAGUUGCAGGCAGCAGAUAAGACGAUGUGUGCAGGAGCUAGUUCAGCAAUAUAUAACUAACAGGAUGACUUGAAACUAAAGAGGACAAGACAGAGAAUGCACUGACUGUGAACUAGGCCUUUCUGCUAGACAGAUGAGAGGAAUUUUGGGGACCAGCAGCAGGAGCAAGGUUUUCUUCAAAUUGUACGGCAUCUCAACUGUCCCACGCAGCAUGUGAUGCUACUCCAGAUUCCUUCGUAGAGACGUAGUUCCUAUACUCAUACCCUGGCCACGGCAUACUUUGUUUUUGCAGAGAAGGCACAGUACCACAUUUUCUGCAUCUGGUAAGAUUUUUGCCUACCUUUAAGGAGAUCAUCCCUGCGGGCAUGAUGUGCUCUCUGAUAAGCUUUUUUGAGGCUUUGCCUGCUAUAUCCAUGUUGAAGAAAUCGUUCUGCAUUACAGAUGGAUGGCCCACCAGACAUUUACAUCUAUGAUUUAUGGAUUUCUUGGGAAGGGCAAUCGGGUCCCCAUACCCUCAUGUGUAGUAUCCAAAAUCAGAGAGAAAUUUCCUGAUAGUCGAUCAGAUUACACUGGAUUCAAAUGGUUUUCAGAUUACGAUUCUAAUACUGCUCCUUUUGGCCAUUUUUUUUAUUUUUUAUGUUUAGAUUGCUAUCUAAUGUUAUUAUAAUUUUCAACACUGUGACAGUUAGUUUUAUAGUUGGAUAGGAACUAUUUUUCCGUUAUCAGAAAAUGUGAUACAUUUUAGUUAUUUAUAAUGGUUGAAGGAGUGCUUUGUUUUCAGUACAAUAGUCUAAUGUAUAUAUUUUAGGGGAUAAUUUUCUGUGAAAUAGAUGUGGAGGAGUAUGAAGGGAUAUUUGUGGGUGGGCUUGCACCUCUACCCAUAAGCAACACAUGCCCAGAACAUUAUGCUCAAUUAGGUCUAUAGUGGUAAAAAAUUUCAUACAUUGGAACACUUUUUCCUGCUAUUUUAUUUUAAUUAUUUAUGUUAAAAGGGUACUCCGGUGGAAAA